rnacentral:rRNA from 1 species
GGGUUGUGAGGUUAAGCGACUAAGCGUACACGGUGGAUGCCCUGGCAGUCAGAGGCGAUGAAGGACGUGCUAAUCUGCGAUAAGCGUCGGUAAGGUGAUAUGAACCGUUAUAACCGGCGAUUUCCGAAUGGGGAAACCCAGUGUGUUUCGACACACUAUCAUUAACUGAAUCCAUAGGUUAAUGAGGCGAACCGGGGGAACUGAAACAUCUAAGUACCCCGAGGAAAAGAAAUCAACCGAGAUUCCCCCAGUAGCGGCGAGCGAACGGGGAGCAGCCCAGAGCCUGAAUCAGUGUGUGUGUUAGUGGAAGCGUCUGGAAAGGCGCGCGAUACAGGGUGACAGCCCCGUACACAAAAAUGCACAUGCUGUGAGCUCGAUGAGUAGGGCGGGACACGUGGUAUCCUGUCUGAAUAUGGGGGGACCAUCCUCCAAGGCUAAAUACUCCUGACUGACCGAUAGUGAACCAGUACCGUGAGGGAAAGGCGAAAAGAACCCCGGCGAGGGGAGUGAAAAAGAACCUGAAACCGUGUACGUACAAGCAGUGGGAGCACGCUUAGGCGUGUGACUGCGUACCUUUUGUAUAAUGGGUCAGCGACUUAUAUUCUGUAGCAAGGUUAACCGAAUAGGGGAGCCGAAGGGAAACCGAGUCUUAACUGGGCGUUAAGUUGCAGGGUAUAGACCCGAAACCCGGUGAUCUAGCCAUGGGCAGGUUGAAGGUUGGGUAACACUAACUGGAGGACCGAACCGACUAAUGUUGAAAAAUUAGCGGAUGACUUGUGGCUGGGGGUGAAAGGCCAAUCAAACCGGGAGAUAGCUGGUUCUCCCCGAAAGCUAUUUAGGUAGCGCCUCGUGAAUUCAUCUCCGGGGGUAGAGCACUGUUUCGGCAAGGGGGUCAUCCCGACUUACCAACCCGAUGCAAACUGCGAAUACCGGAGAAUGUUAUCACGGGAGACACACGGCGGGUGCUAACGUCCGUCGUGAAGAGGGAAACAACCCAGACCGCCAGCUAAGGUCCCAAAGUCAUGGUUAAGUGGGAAACGAUGUGGGAAGGCCCAGACAGCCAGGAUGUUGGCUUAGAAGCAGCCAUCAUUUAAAGAAAGCGUAAUAGCUCACUGGUCGAGUCGGCCUGCGCGGAAGAUGUAACGGGGCUAAACCAUGCACCGAAGCUGCGGCAGCGACGCUGAUGCGUUGUUGGGUAGGGGAGCGUUCUGUAAGCCUGCGAAGGUGUGCUGUGAGGCAUGCUGGAGGUAUCAGAAGUGCGAAUGCUGACAUAAGUAACGAUAAAGCGGGUGAAAAGCCCGCUCGCCGGAAGACCAAGGGUUCCUGUCCAACGUUAAUCGGGGCAGGGUGAGUCGACCCCUAAGGCGAGGCCGAAAGGCGUAGUCGAUGGGAAACAGGUUAAUAUUCCUGUACUUGGUGUUACUGCGAAGGGGGGACGGAGAAGGCUAUGUUGGCCGGGCGACGGUUGUCCCGGUUUAAGCGUGUAGGCUGGUUUUCCAGGCAAAUCCGGAAAAUCAAGGCUGAGGCGUGAUGACGAGGCACUACGGUGCUGAAGCAACAAAUGCCCUGCUUCCAGGAAAAGCCUCUAAGCAUCAGGUAACAUCAAAUCGUACCCCAAACCGACACAGGUGGUCAGGUAGAGAAUACCAAGGCGCUUGAGAGAACUCGGGUGAAGGAACUAGGCAAAAUGGUGCCGUAACUUCGGGAGAAGGCACGCUGAUAUGUAGGUGAAGUCCCUCGCGGAUGGAGCUGAAAUCAGUCGAAGAUACCAGCUGGCUGCAACUGUUUAUUAAAAACACAGCACUGUGCAAACACGAAAGUGGACGUAUACGGUGUGACGCCUGCCCGGUGCCGGAAGGUUAAUUGAUGGGGUUAGCGCAAGCGAAGCUCUUGAUCGAAGCCCCGGUAAACGGCGGCCGUAACUAUAACGGUCCUAAGGUAGCGAAAUUCCUUGUCGGGUAAGUUCCGACCUGCACGAAUGGCGUAAUGAUGGCCAGGCUGUCUCCACCCGAGACUCAGUGAAAUUGAACUCGCUGUGAAGAUGCAGUGUACCCGCGGCAAGACGGAAAGACCCCGUGAACCUUUACUAUAGCUUGACACUGAACAUUGAGCCUUGAUGUGUAGGAUAGGUGGGAGGCUUUGAAGUGUGGACGCCAGUCUGCAUGGAGCCGACCUUGAAAUACCACCCUU